ACAGUGUCACAAUAGAGAAAAAAAAGUCGAAUUUUCAUGCAAAAGCAAAAGGGUUUGAGAAUUUGGUUGAGACUCACCGAUUGUAUUCGAAAUCGGCUACAAUGAAGUAUCCAGUGGAUUCAGCGGAAGCGGGGCGCGCGAGGAAGAAGGGGGCGUGGGUUCGGGCGUGGCUGGUGGUGGACUCCGAACAUCGGAUUUGGAAUUAAGGGCUCCAAUUCCAAUUCCAAUUCCAAUUCCACAGUCCCAACUUCAUGAUACGAACGAAGCCUAGUAAUAGGAAAUUUCUACACAUAUUUGCAUAGUUUGGGUACUAAUUGGUAAAAUUCAGGAUAAAAUUGAAAGAGGAGUCUGGAGAGGAAGGAAACAAACCAGUGUGGACAGAUUUUUACGGUAAUGGGAGAUGGUGGUGACCAAAUUUAUACAUACCAACAAAAGAAAGAAGAGUGGAAUACAGAGGAAACGGGAGAAAACGCGCACGCCUUGAAGAUUCUUCCAUUCGAAUUUGUUGCCCUCGAGGCAUGCCUCCAGGCUACCUGCAGUAGCUUGGAUGAUGAAGCAACAAGACGGGAGCAAGAAGCUCAUCCAGCAUUGGAUAAGCUCACUUACUAGAUUAGCACUCUCAAUCUAGACCGGUUCGACACAUUAAGAGCGUUUGGUGGCAAUAACUGGGCGCGUGCAGAAGAUUUUCCAUUACCAUAUGUAUGUUUUUGGAGUGCUGGCUAAGUUCAAACCCCCACUGUUCACCAUCCCCAGGUAAAACACACACACACACACACAUCAGUUAAGUUCUAAAUUAUAGGGUAGUUUUGGCAAUUAGAGUGCUUGUUAAAUACAUCUGCUGCUUUUGAUAACUUUGGGCUAAUGUAGAAAUAAUCUGUCUGGUGUAUUUUUUUUCAGCACCAAAACCUUUGAAAAUGGCUGAGUAAGAGCACCCGCAACGCAUCUCGCGGGUGUCUCUUAUCUCGUCCCUCCGAGACAAGACGGACGCCGGAGCGUUGCAGCGUCCCGUCUCGUCACCAUCCCG